UGACGAGUUUGAUCCUGGCUCAGGAUGAACGCUAGCGGCAGGCCUAACACAUGCAAGUCGAGGGGUAUUAGGAGCUUGCUCCUAAGAGACCGGCGCACGGGUGCGUAACGCGUAUGCAAUCUACCUUGUACAGGGGAAUAGCCCAGAGAAAUUUGGAUUAAUGCCCCAUAGUAUAAUUGAAUCGCAUGGUUUAAUUAUUAAAGUUCCAACGGUACAAGAUGAGCAUGCGUCCCAUUAGUUAGUUGGUAAGGUAACGGCUUACCAAGACAAUGAUGGGUAGGGGUCCUGAGAGGGAGAUCCCCCGACACUGGUACUGAGACACGGACCAGAC
rnacentral:rRNA from 1 species